rnacentral:rRNA from 1 species
UAGGGGAAAUCUUCCACAAUGGGCGAAAGCCUGAUGGAGCAACGCCGCGUGUGUGAUGAAGGGUUUCGGCUCGUAAAACACUGUUGUAAGAGAAGAAUGACAUUGAGAGUAACUGUUCAAUGUGUGACGGUAUCUUACCAGAAAGGAACGGCUAAAUACGCGCCAG